rnacentral:rRNA from 1 species
CCCUUAGAUGCUCUGGGCCGCACGCGCGCUACACUGGUCGAUGCAACGAGUUUCUUUCCUUGGCCGACAGGCCUGGGCAAUCUUUGAACAUCGAUCGUGAUCGGGAUAGAUUCUUGUAAUUUUUGAUCUUAAACGAGGAAUUCCUAGUAAACGCAAGUCAUCAGCUUGCAUUGAUUACGUCCCUGCCCUUUGUACACACCGCCCGUCGCACCUACCGAUUGAAUGGUCCGGUGAAAUCUCCGGACUGGCGUGAGUCGGAGAAAUCUGACAAACACCGGAAAGUUGAUUAAACCUUACCAUUUAGAGGAAGGUGAAGUCGUAACA